UACGGAGGGGGCUAGCGUUGUUCGGAAUUACUGGGCGUAAAGCGCGCGUAGGUGGUUCGUUAAGUUGGAUGUGAAAUCCCCGGGCUCAACCUGGGAACUGCAUUCAAAACUGACGAGCUAGAGUAUGGUAGAGGGUGGUGGAAUUUCCUGUGUAGCGGUGAAAUGCGUAGAUAUAGGAAGGAACACCAGUGGCGAAGGCGACCACCUGGACUGAUACUGACACUGAGGUGCGAAAGCGUGGGGAGCAAACAGG
rnacentral:rRNA from 1 species